rnacentral:rRNA from 1 species
AUUGAACGCUGGCGGCAGGCCUAACACAUGCAAGUCGAGCGGUAGAGAGAAGCUUGCUUCUCUUGAGAGCGGCGGACGGGUGAGUAAUGCCUAGGAAUCUGCCUGGUAGUGGGGGAUAACGUUCGGAAACGGACGCUAAUACCGCAUACGUCCUACGGGAGAAAGCAGGGGACCUUCGGGCCUUGCGCUAUCAGAUGAGCCUAGGUCGGAUUAGCUAGUUGGUGAGGUAAUGGCUCACCAAGGCGACGAUCCGUAACUGGUCUGAGAGGAUGAUCAGUCACACUGGAACUGAGACACGGUCCAGACUCCUACGGGAGGCAGCAGUGGGGAAUAUUGGACAAUGGGGGAAACCCUGAUCCAGCGACGCCGCGUGGGUGAAGAAGGCCUGCGGGUUGUAAAGCCCUUUCAGUGGGGAAGAAAAGCCUCGACCUAACACGUCGGGGUGUUGACGUAACUCACAAAAGAAGCACCGGCUAACUCUGUGC